GUACCGGUAGCUCAUUUGGUAGAGCACCUGUACGUGGUGAGCGAAAGCGCCAAGUGCCAGGAGGUCGCAGGAUCGAAGCCUGCCCGGGAUU